CAAAAACAUCGCCUCUUGCCCAAAAAUAAGAGGUCCAGCCUGCCCAGUGACAUAUUUCAACGGCCGCGGUAUCCUAACCGUGCGAAGGUAGCAUAAUCACUUGUUCUUUAAAUGAGGACUCGUAUCAACGGCAUCACGAGGGUUAUACUGUCUCCUUUUUCUAAUCAAUGAAACUAAUCUCCCCGUGAAGAAGCGGGGAUACUCAUAUAAGACGAGAAGACCCUAUGGAGCUUUAAACUAUUCAGCACCAGCUUAUAUACUUAUAUGCCCCAGGGUACUAACAUCAAUUUUAGCUUCAUGACUAUUAGUUUUUGGUUGGGGUGACCGCGGAGCACAAACAAACCUCCAUGCUGGAAGGAUAAUUCCUGAACAACAAGCUACAACUUUAAGUACUAAUAAAUUAACACUAAUUGACCCAAUAUUUUGAUCAACGAACCAAGUUACCCUAGGGAUAACAGCGCAAUCCACUUCAAGAGCUCAUAUCGACAAGUGGGUUUACGACCUCGAUGUUGGAUCAGGGUAUCCCAGUGGUGCAGCCGC
rnacentral:rRNA from 1 species